UGGUUCAACCAGCCUGCCAGGAAGACCAGAAGAAGAGUUGCGAGGCAAAAGAAGGCUGUGAAGAUCUUCCCUCGUCCAACAUCUGGACCUCUCCGCCCUGUUGUGCAUGGUCAGACUCUUAAGUACAACAUGAAG